CGUUAAGAAUGUAAUCUAAAAAGCAUUAAAGCUGUAAAUAGAAUUUGCAGCCUGUACUAUAUGGCUAUUAUAGCAUCUGAAGUAGUGUAGUUUGACCCGACGUACGUCAAGUCAAGUGGCUUUAUUGUUAUUUCAACCAUAUCCAGUAAUAUUGGCACCCUUGGUAAGUGUGAGCAAAGGAAACUGUGAAAAUUUGUCUUUAUUGUUUAACCUUUAACGAAUACUCUGCUCUCAUGGAUAUCAAACAAUUGCAAACACAACGCAGCUUUCUGUUUUGUGUGUUUGUGUGUGCGUGUGUGUGCGUGUGUGUGUGGGUGUCAGUCCAGUCUUUGAGCAUCGAGGAGUCCGAUGGCUUGGGGGAAGAAGCUCUUACACGGUCUGGCCGUGAGGGCCCGAAUGCUUCGGUACCUUUUUCCAGACGGCAGGAGGGUGAAGAGUUUGUGUGAGGCGGGUGUGUGGGGUCAUCCACAAUGCUGGUGGCUUUGCCGAUGCACCGUGUGGUGUAAAUGUCUAUGAUGGAGGGAAGACAGACCCAAGUGAUCUCCGCUGUCCUCACUUUCCACUGCAGGGUCUUACGGUCCAAUACGGUGUAAUUUCCAAACCCGGCAGUGAUGCAGCUGCUCAGGAUGCUCUCAAUGGUGCUGUCAAAGCGAAGUGCAGGACGAAGGAGAAGGAGGAGGACACGCGGCAGGGAUGAGUGGAGGCCGUUUCUACGGCGGUUGCCGUGGCCAGCGGAGUGACGUGCGAGUGCACAUGCCGGUCCGUAUGCUGUGUGGUAGGAGACAGAACGGCUGCGGCCCCCUCUUCACUCGCAUCAUACUAUUCCCAACAUGAACUUUCACGGUCCUCCAUCCACUCACUGAGUCACUGUGAGCAAUUUUCUUCUCUCCGUCCAAGUCUUCUCGAAGAUCUCUCCCGUCUCCUGGAGUCGCUCUUCGAUCAUCAAGAGCAGCACAAACUUUCUUCCUUCUCGUCGCACUGUACUAUCUGUUUUUUUUUUCUAGGUCAUGCUUGCUUAUACAAAAGUGUCCAAAUUCAUUGUGUACAUGGUCUUUUUUUUUUGUUUUUGGCGAACAAGCUGAGGAAGUUUGACUCACUCCGAACUCUGGCUUCAUAGAGUCAUUCAUAAGUCUGGAGUCAUCUCUCGCCGUCUCGCUCCUGUGUAUAAACAGAAACCACCGGACCGUUAACAUCCCCUCGCGGCGGCUAACCACAAUCAUUUCAUACAUGCCUCACAUGGCCGAGCUACUGAAUCAGCGUCCGUCAGGCUGUCGUGCUCUAAACACAGGUCCCGGAUCAGUUUCCUACAAAUCAACACAUUGUCUAAUCCUGUCUUUAAACGAUACGUCUGAUUUAUGGUCAGUAGAAAAUGACCAGGUUCGUAAACGACGGUGAAUCAUUCAAUUUCCUGGCAAGCCAGUGUUGGUCUUGGAUCAGGUCCAUCCAUUGACUGUGUUUCCCUCUGAGUAGAAAUGCUCAGAGUCAACUAGUUUCAAAUUAGACCUUUAUUUAUUUUUUUAAAAACAGGCCUUUUUAACGUGUUUAUCUUGUGGUUAAUAGGUUAACAUCUAAAAGUCGUCCAAAAAAAGUCCGCUAUGACGAACUGUUUAAAUAAAAUCAGUUAAGGAUACAGUAAAGAAUAUGGUCAAAAAAAAACCACAUUUAAAAAAAAAACAUGCUGAGUGCAAAAGUUUGUGCACCUGCACAUCUCAGGAACACUGGAUGUGAGGCGGGAAUUUACCUUAAAUGAGACGCCAGUCAUUUAUUCAUUCAUUCAUUUUCAGCAAGCACUUCAUCCUGGUCAGGAUAUCGCUGGAUCCAGAUCCUUAUCCCAGGAACACUGGGAAUGAAGUAGAUUUAUGUAGUGUGAUCUUUAGAGUUUUCAUUCAUUCAUCCUCAGGAUCUGCUUUAUCCUGGUGGAGGCGGAGUCUAUCCUACAAACACUUUGUGUGAGGUGGGAAUACACCCUGGAUGGAACGCCGGUCCAAGGCCACACAUUCACACACCCACUCACACCCAGGGGUAAUUUAACAUCGUCAGUCUGCAUACGUCCAUGUUGUUUUGGAGAUAGGAGGAAAGCAGAGAAUUGAAGGGAACCCGUACGGACACACCGAGAACAUGGGGGACUCUACACACACGGUAACCCGAGCUCAGGAUUGAACCAGGUCACAAGUUUCUUAAUGUGAUUAUUAAUAUUCUCUAAUCCUUCCUUUGCUUUAAUAAAGGACUACAAACUCGUUGUUUAUCCUUUGAACAGCUUUAAAUUUAUAUUUGGUAUAAUUUCGUCAUACUUGAUAGAGGGAUUUCUCAGGCAGCAAAAUGUUUUAAGGCCAAAACCAAAACCAAAACCAAAACAAAAGAAAGAAAGAAACAAACCAAA
ensembl:lncRNA